AAUUCGCUUUAACAAUAGCAUAUAUCUACUUGCUUCUCUUGAGGGCUCUUAAUUCAUCUAGCAAGGCAACUAUGUCAGAGUAAGAUGAUCCUCCUUCUUCAGUGGCCGUCCUUGCCAUUUCUUUUAGUGCCAUUGCUCGGCUUCUUAUUUCCUCAGCCUCUUCACUAGCCAUCAACCGAGUCAUUGCCUUCUCUAUGUCUUCUUUCUUCACUAGAAUUUUCUUCUCAUACUUAGACCAUUCUUGGGCACCAACUCGACAUCCUAUUUUCAGAAUAUCUACAAUCAGUUUUUCAUUAUCAAAUUGGUCUGCGCAGAGAGGCCAUGUGACCAUUGGCACCCCUGCGCACACUCCUUCCAAUGUAGAGUUCCAUCCACAAUGAGUCAUAAACCCUGCAACAGCUUCAUGUUCAAGAAUCAACAAUUGGGGUGCCCAUCCUCUUAUAAUCAAACCCUUCCCCUCCAUUCUCUUCUCAAAUCCUUCUGGCAGCCAUUCUUUCUUUUCUUCUUUCUCUUUGUUCUCUUCCAUUCUCACAACCCAAAUGAAGUUUAGUGCAGAAGUUUCAAGAGCCAUAGCGAGCUCACGUAAUUGAGGAGGUGGAACCUUGAAUACGCUCCCAAAGCAUAUAUAUAAGACUGAAUUGGUUUUCUUUGUGUCUAACCAUCUUAGGCAUUCAUGUUCAUCAAUGGAGGCUUUAUCACCUCUCUGUGCUUUAUCUUUGGUUUCGCUAUUGAAAAGUGAGAGAGGGCCAAUGUGCCAUGCCUUCCUUCCCAUGUUCUUUGUGUAAUGUUCUGAAUAAGCUGGCUCUAGCUCACGGAAACUAUUCAUGAGGACUCCAUAGCUUUUGAGAUCAGAUUCCAAAAUUUGAUCCAUCAGCUUGUGAAAUCCAUGCUUAUCAGUUGUGUCUGUAAAAUAAGUUGGCAAUUGUAGUUUUGUCAUCGUUAUCUGGUGCGGUAGACCAGGCACUAUGAAGGGUUCAAAAUCAGACUCCACAUUUUUGUAAGGCUGAUAUCGUUUAAGAGAAUCGGUGACACACGUAGAAAUGAAGCUAGAUCCAUCAAAAUACAACCUAGGAAUCCCAAGAUUUCCUGCAACUCCCGUAGCCCAUGGAAACAUCAUGUCAGCCACAAGACAAUCAGGCUGGCAUUCUUCUAGGACCUCCGUAAGUGGAUGUUGAAGCAACGUAAGCGCAUGAAGGAACUUUGGAAUCAUUUCUGGCGUAGUGAGGGAACUUGAAUCCUCACAUCCUUCUGGCAGGCCUGCCUCUACGGAAGGGAAUUUUAUGAUUCUUAUACUAAUUUCAACUCCCAAUUCUCUAUCUCUUUCAAUUGUUUCAGAGAAGCGAGUUUCACAAAUAGCAGUAGUAACAAUGGUUGCCUUCACUCCUUGCUUGGCUAAGAGCCUGGCCAGGUCUAUGGUUGCAAUCAUAUGGCUUCGUAUCGCAUAUGGGAAGAAGACCAUAUGAAGCUGAUUUGGUUUUGAAUCCAUGUGGGCUUUAUGUGAUUAAGGGAUGUGAGAUGAAGAAAGAAUUCUAGUCUGAUUUGAAAUGAAACAGUUGAAGCUAAAGCUUGAGGUUUCUUAUCUCUGCCUCUUUUUUUACUGUCAUCAUCUCUGUGGCCGAGAUUCCAAAUUUAUAAUAAAACAAAAAUGAAUUGGGUCUGCAAGUAUUUCCAGGUAAGAGGGGCGAA
rnacentral:misc_RNA from 1 species